rnacentral:rRNA from 1 species
UACGGAGGGUGCAAGCGUUAUCCGGAUUCACUGGGUUUAAAGGGUGUUGUAGGCGGAUAUUUAAAGUCAGUGGUGAAAUCUCCAGGCUCAACCUGGAAACUGCCAUUGAUACUAGUUUAUCUUGAAUUCUGUUGAGGUGGGCGGAAUACAUCAUGUAGCGGUGAAAUGCUUAGAUAUGAUGUAGAACACCGAUUGCGAAGGCAGC